AUGUGCGCACAGUGGCAGUAUCGUAGCCAAUGAGGUUUAUCCGAGGCGCGAUUAUUGCUAAUUGAAAACUUUUCCCAGAUAAUAGGACCACAGUCCUGUCUUCUCUUCUGAAUCCCCUUGUUUUGUUUACACAGACAGAUCUCCCUAAUGCCACUCUCCUUGUAAGAAUUUCUGCAGAUAAUUUGGGUCA
rnacentral:snRNA from 1 species